rnacentral:rRNA from 1 species
GACAGAGGUGCCGAGCGUUAGGCGGAAUCACUGGGCUUAAAGCGUGUGUAGGCGGGCCGUUAAGUGUCUUGUGAAAUCCCCCGGCUCAACCGGGGAAUUGCUGGGCAUACUGGCGGUCUUGAGCAGUUCAGGGGCAGAUGGAACAAGUGGUGGAGCGGUGAAAUGCGUAGAUAUCACUUGGAACGCCAACGGUGAAAACAGUCUGCUGGGAACUUGCUGACGCUGAGACACGAAAGCCAGGGGAGCGAACGGG